CCUGUCCAAGCCUGUUGAACCCAUCUCUCAAUACCACAUGCCCCAGAGGCAGAUGCGGUGCUGCAGAUCUUGUUGUGAUCUUCCUGACUUUUAGUCUGCUUCUGGGUUUUACAACUGGGAAUGUGCCUUGUGUCUCAAAAGGGACAUAGAUUUGGAACUUUUGAGCAAUACUGGAACUGCUGGGAUUUGGAGAAGGAAUUCUUCUUCUCUGGUCCUGUUUCUAUGCCUGGCCGAGACGAACUAAGCAGGUUGCCUCUCCCAUACCUUGCUGCCAUGACAUAUUUGCCUUUGAAUUAACCACCCAUGGACUGAAUCCCCUAAAUCUUAAACCAAGUUAAUGGCAAAGAUGUCUUUAAAAACUGAUCGUCAUGAUGCUUGUCCAGACUUCCUCAUUGUCUGCAGAGAAGCUGAACCAGUCUUUGUUACCAGAAGGUACCGCUUAGUGUUUCAGCAAUAUUUUUGGAAUAAGGAAUCUGCAGUACGUAUAAAUGC